AGCAGCCGCGGUAAUUCCAGCUCCAAUAGCGUAUAUUAAAGUUGUUGCAGUUAAAAAGCUCGUAGUUGAAUUUCGGGACCAAUUUGUUGGUCGUGCCUCGGUACGUACUGGUAUUAUUGGUUUCUCCCUUCUGAAGAACCAUGAUGCCAUUAAUUUGGUGUCGUGGGGAAUCAGGACUGUUACUCUGAAAAAAUUAGAGUGUUUAAAGCAGGCAUACGCUUGAAUACAUUAGCAUGGAAUAAUGAAAUAGGACGUUUGAUUCUAUUUUGUUGGUUUCUAGGAUCGACGUAAUGAUUAAUAGGGAUAGUUGGGGGCAUUAGUAUUCAAUUGUCAGAGGUGAAAUUCUUGGAUUUAUUGAAGACUAACUACUGCGAAAGCAUUUGCCAAGGAUGUUUUCAUUAAUCAAGAACGAAAGUUAGGGGAUCGAAGACGAUCAGAUACCGUCGUAGUCUUAACCAUAAACUAUGCCGACUAGGGAUCGGAUGAUGUUAAUUUUUUAAUGACUCAUUCGGCGCCUUAA
rnacentral:rRNA from 1 species